GCCAGACUCCUACGGGAGGCAGCAGUGGGGAAUAUUGGUCAAUGGCCGAGAGGCUGAACCAGCCAAGUCGCGUGAGGGAUGACGGCCCUACGGGUUGUAAACCUCUUUUGCCGGGGAGCAAAGAGAGUCACGUGUGGCUCAUUGAGAGUACCCGAAGAAAAAGCAUCGGCUAACUACGUGCCAGCAGCCGCGGUAAUACGUAGGAGGCAAGCGUUAUCCGGAAUGACUGGGCGUAAAGGGUGCGUAGGUGGUUUGACAAGUUAGUAGCGCAACUCCGGAGCUCAACUUCGGAACUACUACUAAAACUGUUGGACUUGAGUGCAGGAGGGGCAAUCGGAAUUCCUAGUGUAGCGGUGGAAUGCGUAGAUAUUAGGAGGAACACCAGUGGCGAAGGCGGAUUGCUAGACUGUAACUGACACUGAGGCACGAAAGCGUGGGGAGCAAACAGGAUUAGAUACCCCCGUA
rnacentral:rRNA from 1 species